rnacentral:rRNA from 1 species
AUUGAACGCUGGCGGCAGGCCUAACACAUGCAAGUCGAACGAGUGGCGGACGGGUGAGUAAUGUCUGGGAAACUGCCUGAUGGAGGGGGAUAACUACUGGAAACGGUAGCUAAUACCGCAUACCAUCAGAUGUGCCCAGAUGGGAUUAGCUAGUUGGUGGGGUAACGGCUCACCAAGGAAACGUUCCCUAGCUGGUCUGAGCGGAGUACCAGACAACCGGGAACUGAGACACGGUCCAGACUCCUACGGGAGGCAGCGGUGGGGAUAAUUGCACAAGGUGCGCAGGCCUGAUGCAGCCAUGCCGCGUGUAUGAAGAAGGCCUUCGGGUUGUAAAGUACUUUCAGCGGGGAGGCGUUACCCGCAGAAGAAGCACCGGCUAACUCCGUGCCAGCCGCCGCGGUAAUAC